rnacentral:rRNA from 1 species
AUUGAACGCUGGCGGCAGGCCUAACACAUGCAAGUCGAGCGGCAGCGGGAAAGUAGCUCGCUACUUUUGCCGGCGAGCGGCGGACGGGUGAGUAAUGCCUGGGAAAUUGCCCAGUCGAGGGGGAUAACAGUUGGAAACGACUGCUAAUACCGCAUACGCCCUACGGGGGAAAGCAGGGGACCUCCGGGCCUUUUGCGUUUGGAUAUGCCCAGGUGGGAUUAGCUAGUUGGUGAGGUAAUGGAUCACCAAGGCGCCGAUACCUAGCUGGUCUGGGAGGAUGAUCAGCCACACUGGAACUGAGACACGGUCCAGACGCCUACGGGAGGCAGCAGUGGGGAAUAUUGCACAAUGGGGGAAACCCUGAUGCAGCCAUGCCGCGUGUGUGAAGAAGGCCUUCGGGUUGUAAAGCACUUUCAGCGAGGAGGAAAGGUCAGUAGCUAAUACCUGCUGGCUGCGACGUUACUCGCAGAAGAAGCACCGGCUAACUCCGUGCCAGCCGCCGCCGUAAUAC